CAGAUUCUGCGAUGCCAAAGACCAAUGCUAAAAUUAGUCGGAAGUAGCUGGAGUGCGGAAGAAGCUAAAAAUGCAGCUAAACUUUUGUUCACGCGCAUUCUAUGUAUGCUAACGGUGGGCCUCACAGCUUGACGUGGUGAACUGUGACGAUGGGGUUAAAACACCAGCUGUCUUCUCUUUGAUGAUUUCCGCCAAAGGUCUGGCGGAGAAUCCGGAUUUGUCGCUUCACAGUAUCCUACCAGUUAUGUUACGGUGUACGAUGUAUGAAUUCACAAACAUUGAAUGCUUGACAGAGAGUGAAUCGUUUCCGAUGCGAGGGAAAUGAUGGUAAGCACUUUCCUUGUGCCCCUUAUCGCAUUCCAACUGCACGGCCCUUUAUCUCAAGCUGCCUUGCUCGGGCAUCGAGGAUGUUUAGUCUACCUAUUAUAUGAUGAUCAGGACGCUAGCCGCUUGGCACCCAGAUGCCUAGAGGCCGAGUCAUAUAACUCGCGAGAGUGCGUAUUAUCAUCAGGGCACUUCCCAUCAGAUAAAUAACGAAGUGUACGAGGACGCUCUACACUUGUAUCACCACGUGUUCGAUGAGACAAUUAUUACAUCUUUAUUUUCCAAUAAACAAUAAGUAAGCCACGUGCGUCACCCGUGGUUGACCAUCACUAACGUAUAGACAAAUAUCAAGCAGGCUUUUUAUACCGUAAGGCUUUUCCCUGACGAGCCAAUAAAGUAUUAUACCUUGUAGUAUUGGCUC